rnacentral:rRNA from 3 species
AUGAGUGGCGAACGGGUGAGUAAUACGUGAGUAACCUGCCCUUGACUCUGGGAUAAGCCUGGGAAACUGGGUCUAAUACUGGAUAUGACCUCCUGUCGCAUGGUGGGGGGUGGAAAGGGUUUGUACUGGUUGUGGAUGGGCUCACGGCCUAUCAGCUUGUUGGUGGGGUAAUGGCCUACCAAGGCGACGACGGGUAGCCGGCCUGAGAGGGUGACCGGCCACACUGGGACUGAGACACGGCCCAGACUCCUACGGGAGGCAGCAGUGGGGAAUAUUGCACAAUGGGCGCAAGCCUGAUGCAGCGACGCCGCGUGAGGGAUGACGGCCUUCGGGUUGUAAACCUCUUUCAGCACGGAAGAAGCGAAAGUGACGGUACGUGCAGAAGAAGCGCCGGCUAACUACGUGCCAGCAGCCGCGGUAAUACGUAGGGCGCAAGCGUUGUCCGGAAUUAUUGGGCGUAAAGAGCUCGUAGGCGGUUUGUCGCGUCUGCUGUGAAAGCCCGGGGCUUAACCCCGGGUGUGCAGUGGGUACGGGCAGACUUGAGUGCAGUAGGGGAGACUGGAACUCCUGGUGUAGCGGUGAAAUGCGCAGAUAUCAGGAAGAACACCGAUGGCGAAGGCAGGUCUCUGGGCUGUUACUGACGCUGAGGAGCGAAAGCAUGGGGAGCGAACAGGAUUAGAUACCCUGGUAGUCCAUGCCGUAAACGUUGGGCACUAGGUGUGGGGGACAUUCCACGUUUUCCGCGCCGUAGCUAACGCAUUAAGUGCCCCGCCUGGG